GAUCAUGCUCAGGAUGAACGCUAGCUACAGGCUUAACACAUGCAAGUCGAGGGGCAGCAUGGUCUUAGCUUGCUAAGGCUGAUGGCGACCGGCGCACGGGUGAGUAACACGUAUCCAACCUGCCGUCUACUCUUGGCCAGCCUUCUGAAAGGAAGAUUAAUCCAGGAUGGGAUCAUGAGUUCACAUGUCCGCAUGAUUAAAGGUAUUUUCCGGUAGACGAUGGGGA
rnacentral:rRNA from 1 species